rnacentral:rRNA from 1 species
CAAAGUGACAGGUGGUGCAUGGUUGUCGUCAGCUCGUGUCGUGAGAUGUUGGGUUAAGUCCCGCAACGAGCGCAACCCUUAAGCUUAGUUGCCAGCAUUAGGUUGGGCACUCUAAGUUGACUGCCGGUGACAAACCGGAGGAAGGUGGGGAUGACGUCAAAUCAUCAUGCCCCUUAUGAUUUGGGCUACACACGUGCUACAAUGGACAAUACAAAGGGCAGCUAAACCGCGAGGUCAUGCAAAUCCCAUAAAGUUGUUCUCAGUUCGGAUUGUAGUCUGCAACUCGACUACAUGAAGCUGGAAUCGCUAGUAAUCGUAGAUCAGCAUGCUACGGUGAAUACGUUCCCGGGUCUUGUACACACCGCCCGUCACACCACGAGAGUCUGUAACACCCGAAGCCGGUGGAGUAACCAUUUAUGGAGCUAGCCGUCGAAGGUGGGACAAAUGAUUGGGGUGAAGUCGUAACAAGGUAGCCGUAUCGGAAGGUGCGGCUGGAUCACCUC